ensembl:snRNA U6 U6 spliceosomal RNA
GUGCUGGCCUUGGUAGCACCUAGGCUAAAAUUGGAACGACUCACAGGUUGGCAUGGCCCCUGCGCAAGGAUGACAUGUAAAUCCAUGAAGUAUUCCAUAUUUUA